rnacentral:rRNA from 2 species
AUUUACUGGGUGUAAAGGGAGUGUAGGUGGCCAGGCAAGUCAGAAGUGAAAGCCCGGGGCUCAACCCCGGGACUGCUUUUGAAACUGCAGGGCUAGAGUGCAGGAGGGGCAAGUGGAAUUCCUAGUGUAGCGGUGAAAUGCGUAGAUAUUAGGAGGAACACCAGUGGCGAAGGCGGCUUGCUGGACUGUAACUGACACUGAGGCUCGAAAGCGUGGGGAGCAAACAGGAUUAGAUACCCUGGUAGUCCACGCUGUAAACGAUGAUUACUAGGUGUGGGGGGUCUGACCCCUUCCGUGCCGGAGUUAACACAAUAAGUAAUCCACCUGGGGAGUACGGCCGCAAGGUUGAAACUCAAAGGAAUUGACGGGGGCCCGCACAAGCAGUGGAGUAUGUGGUUUAAUUCGAAGCAACGCGAAGAACCUUACCAGGUCUUGACAUCCAACUAACGAAGUAGAGAUACAUUAGGUGCCCUUCGGGGAAAGUUGAGACAGGUGGUGCAUGGUUGUCGUCAGCUCGUGUCGUGAGAUGUUGGGUUAAGUCCCGCAACGAGCGCAACCCUUGCUAUUAGUUGCUACGCAAGAGCACUCUGAAUAGACUGCCGUUGACAAAAUGGAGGAAGGUGGGGACGACGUCAAAUCAUCAUGCCCCUUAUGACCUGGGCUACACACGUACUACAAUGGAUGUUAACAGAGGGAAGCAAGACAGCGAUGUGGAGCAAACCCCUAAUAACAUUCUCAUUUCAGAUUGCAGGCUGCAACCCGCCUGCAUGAAGAUGGAAUUGCUAGUAAUCGCGGAUCGGCAUGCCGCGGUGGAUACGUUCCCGGGCCUUGUACACACCGCCNGUCACACCAUGGGAGCCGGUAAUACCCGAAGUCAGUAGUCCAACCUCCGUGAGGACGCUGCCGAAG